CUGCCCAGUGACAAAAGUUCAACGGCCGCGGUAUCCUAACCGUGCAAAGGUAGCAUAAUCACUUGCCUAUUAAUUGUAGGCUAGAAUGAAUGGAUAAACGAAAUAAAAACUGUCUCAAUCAGCCACCUAAAAAUUAUUAUCUAUAUGAAGAAAUAUAGAUAAAAUCGAAGGACAAGAAGACCCUAUAGAGCUUAAUUUUUAAUAUAGAUAUAAAUUAUAUAAAAAAUUCGGUUGGGGCGACCAAGGGAAAUACACAUCACCCUCAAACAAAAAGAUAUAUAAAUCUAAGUACUGACCCUUAAAAGAUCACAAAAUCAAGCUACCUUAGGGAUAACAGGCUAAUCCCAUUUAAGAGUUCAUAUCAACAAUGGGGUUUGGCACCUCGAUGUUGGCUUAGGGUAUCAAUAUAGCGCAAAAGUUAUAUUAUGAUGGUUUGUUCAACCAAUAAUUCCCU
rnacentral:rRNA from 1 species